rnacentral:rRNA from 1 species
AUUGGUUUCUCCCUUCUGACGAACCAAGAUGUCAUUAAUUUGGUGUCUUGGGGAAUCAGGACCGUUACUUUGACAAAAUUAGAGUGUUUAAAGCAGGCUCGCGCUUGAAUACAUUAGCAUGGAAUAAUGAAAUAGGACGUUUGAUUCUAUUUUGUUGGUUUCUAGGAUCGACGUAAUGAUUAAUAGGGAUAGUUGGGGGCAUUAGUAUUCAAUUGUCAGAGGUGAAAUUCUUGGAUUUAUUGAAGACUAACUACUGCGAAAGCAUUUGCCAAGGAUGUUUUCAUUAAUCAAGAACGAAAGUUAGGGGAUCGAAGACGAUCAGAUACCGUCGUAGUCUUAACCAUAAACUAUGCCGACUAGGGAUCGGAUGAUGUUAAUUUUUUAAUGACUCAUUCGGCGCCUUACG